GAUGAACGCUAGCGGCAGGCCUAACACAUGCAAGUCGAGGGAGAAGCCCUUUCGGGGGCAGAAACCGGCGCACGGGUGCGUAACGCGUAUGCAACCUACCUUUCACAGGGGGAUAGCCCGAAGAAAUUUGGAUUAAUACCCCAUAAUAUUAUUGGAUGGCAUCAUUUGAUAAUUAAAACUGCGGUGGUGAAAGAUGGGCAUGCGUCCUAUUAGCUAGUUGGAGUGGUAACGGCACCCCAAGGCUACGAUAGGUAGGGGUCCUGAGAGGGAGAUCCCCCACACUGGUACUGAGACAGGGACCAGACUCCUACGGGAGGCAGCAGUGAGGAAUAUUGGUCAAUGGUCGGAAGACUGAACCAGCCAUGCCGCGUGCAGGAAGAAUGCCUUAUGGGUUGUAUACUGCUUUUAUAUGGGAAGAAUAAGGCGUACGUGUACGUUGAUGACGGUACCAUAUGAAUAAGCAUCGGCUAACUCCGUG
rnacentral:rRNA from 1 species